GACGAACGCUGGCGGCGUGCUUAACACAUGCAAGUCGAACGGAAAGGCCCUGCUUUUGUGGGGUGCUCGAGUGGCGAACGGGUGAGUAACACGUGAGUAACCUGCCCUUGACUUUGGUAUAACUUCAGGAAACUGGGGCUAAUACCGGAUAGGAUCUCCUGCUGCAUGGUGGGGGUUGGAAAGUUUCGGCUGUUGGGGAUGGACUCGCGGCUUAUCAGCUUGUUGGUGGGGUAGUGGCUUACCAAGGCUUUGACGGGUAGCCGGCCUGAGAGGGUGACCGGCCACAUUGGGACUGAGAGACGGACCAGACGCCUACGGGAGGCAGCAGGGGGGAAUAUUGCACAAUGGGCGGAAGCCUGAGGCAGAAACGCCGGGUGCGGGAUGACGGCCUUCGGGUUGUAAACCGCUUUCGCCUGUGACGAAGCGUGAGUGACGGUAAUGGGUAAAGAAGCACCGGCUAACUACGUG
rnacentral:rRNA from 1 species